GCCAGGAGAUGGUCUGGUUAAUAUAGCACUGUGUCAUGCUAGGGGAUGGUCUGGUUAAUAUAGCACUGCGCCAGGGGAUGGUCUGGUUAAUAUAGCACUGUGCCAGGGGAUGGGAUGGUCUGGUUAAUAUAGCACUGUGCCAGGGGAAGGUCUGGUUAUUAUAGCACUGUGCCAUGCCAGGGGAUGGUCUGGUUAAUAUAGCACUAUGUCAUGCCAGGAGAUGGUCUGGUUAAUAUAGCACUGUGCCAGGGGAUGGUCUGGUUAAUAUAGCACUGUGCCAUGCCAGGGGAUGGUCUGGUUAAUAUAGCACUGUGCCAUACCAGGGGAUUGUCUGGUUAAUAUA
ensembl:lncRNA